rnacentral:miRNA from 1 species
GUAUGGCCUGUGACCGCUCG